ensembl:snoRNA
GUUGAGGUCAAUCUCGAUGGGACUUUUUCUGUAGACCCAUGUCAUUGGAGACGCCUCAGAGUCACCAUGUGGUUUACUUUGCUCACAGCAUGAUUUGCUGGAUCUGUGAGAGAGAACGACAAGGUACAA